rnacentral:rRNA from 1 species
GACGAACGCUGGCGGCGCGCUUAACACAUGCAAGUCGAGCGAAGCGGCGGACGGGUGAGUAACACGUGAGUAACCUGCCUUAGACAUUGGGAUAGCCUCGGGAAACCGGGAUUAAUACCAAAUGGUCUAAGAUGGACUCGCGUCUCAUUAGACAGUUGGUGAGGUAACGGCCCACCAAGGCGACGAUUGGUAGCCGGCAUGGGAGGGUGAACGGCCACAUGGGAACUGAGAAACGGUCCAAACUCUACGGGAGGCAGCAGUGGUGAAUAUUGCACAAUGGGGGUAACUCUGAUGUAGCGACGCCGCGUGAACGAAGAAGGCUUUCGAGUCGUAAAGUUCUUUUAUAUGGGAAGCGGUACCAUAAGAAAAAGCCCCGGCUAACUACGUGCCAGCAGCCGCGGUAAUAC